AACGAACGCUGGCGGCAGGCCUAACACAUGCAAGUCGAACGCCCCGCAAGGGGAGUGGCAGACGGGUGAGUAACACGUGGGAACCUACCUCAAGGUGAGGAACAACCAAGGGAAACUUUGGCUGAUACCGCAUGUGCCCGAGAGGGGAAAGAUUUAUCGCCUUGGGAUGGGCCCGCGUCGGAUUAGCUAGUUGGUGGGGUAAAGGCCUACCAAGGCGACGAUCCGUAGCUGGUCUGAGAGGAUGACCAGCCACACUGGGACUGAGACACGGCCCAGACUCCUACGGGAGGCAGCAGUGGGGAAUAUUGGACAAUGGGCGCAAGCCUGAUCCAGCCAUGCCGCGUGAGUGAUGAAGGCCUUAGGGUUGUAAAGCUCUUUCACCGAUGAAGAUAAUGACGGUAGUCGGAGAAGAAGCCCCGGCUAACUUCGUGCCAGCCGCCGCCGUAAAAC
rnacentral:rRNA from 1 species